rnacentral:rRNA from 1 species
UACGUAGGGGGCAAGCGUUGUCCGGAAUCAUUGGGCGUAAAGCGCGCGUAGGCGGCCUCACAAGUCCGCUGUAAAAGUCAAAGGCUCAACCUUUGAAUGCCAGUGGAAACUGUGAGGCUAGAGUCCGGAAGAGGCGAGUGGAACUCCUGGUGUAGCGGUGGAAUGCGCAGAUAUCAGGAAGAACACCAACGGCGAAGGCAGCUCGCUGGGACGGUACUGACGCUAAGGCGCGAAAGCGUGGGGAGCAAACAGGAUUAGAUACCCUGGUAGUCCACGCCGUAAACGAUGGGCACUAGGUGUGGGAGGUGUCGACUCCUCCCGUGCCGGCGCUAACGCAUUAAGUGCCCCGCCUGGGGAGUACGGCCGCAAGGCUAAA